UACGGAGGGUGCGAGCGUUAAUCGGAAUACUGGGCGUAAAGCGCACGUAGGCGGUCGAGUCAAGUCGGGUGUGAAAGCCCUGGGCUCAACCUGGGAAUUGCAUUCGAAACUAUCUGACUCGAGUAUGGGAGAGGGAAGCGGAAUUUCCGGUGUAGCGGUGAAAUGCGUAGAUAUCGGAAGGAACAUCAGUGGCGAAAGCGGCUUCCUGG
rnacentral:rRNA from 1 species